rnacentral:rRNA from 1 species
GACGAAGGAUGCAAGCGUUAUCCGGAUCCAUUGGGUUUAAAGGGAGCGUAGGUGGCCUUAUAAGUCAGUGGUGAAAUCUCUGGGCUUAACCCAGAAAUUGCCAUUGAUACUGUAGGGCUUGAGUAUAGUUGCCGUUGGCGGAAUAUGACAUGUAGUGGUGAAAUACAUAGAGAUGUCAUAGAACACCGAUUGCGAAGGCAGCUAACGAAACUAUAACUGACACUGAGGCUCGAAAGUGCGGGGAUCAAACAGG